GACCACUUCCGUCAGGCCAUCACA
rnacentral:siRNA from 1 species